UGUGCAAUGAAUUUAAAAAUUUCAAAAUUGCUACUGCUUCAUCUUUGGAUAAGGAUGUUGAAUCUGAUUUCUGCUUUGUUGCACGCCCAGUUGUGCUUGAUGCUUAAGCAGAUUGACAUUGAAUUUUUUGUUCAAACAUUUGGUAUUAGCAUUGUAUACCCGAUAGUGUUUCUUUGGGAAAUAAUGAUACAAACUUACCGACUCCCUUGAAAAUUGAUUUAGGUAAAAUUUAUCCCAAUUAUGAGAUGUGCA
rnacentral:misc_RNA from 1 species